rnacentral:rRNA from 1 species
AUGAGCCAACACAUUACAUUGCCGACCAACGUGCACAAACAAACUAAGGAGAAGCCUAGAAUUGCCAUCUUGAUAUCAUCAAUGACGGAACCAACAACAGAACGAUCGUGGGCUUUGGAUUUCAGCCUUUGCACCAAAGGAUUUGUAAGCAUCUGGUCUCCAUAUGACGGGCUCAAUUGGGCCGACCAAGCAAGUCCACGACUCUUUCUUCUCACAAUCGAGCCCAAAGAAAAAACAACCAGUGACGACACAAGUCCAACGCCGCCGCCGCUCCUUUGCUCCAUUCCCCUCGCCAAACCCUCGCUCCACCAGACGACCUGUGCGGCCUGCCGGCGACCACGCUCGACGAGCCGAGCCGCAAUGGCCCCCGGAGGAGGCGAGCAAGUAUUCGGGGAGCAGGACAACCCACCGGCGACGGGCCACGGGUGCCGCGACGAGGAGGCCCCAUCCCGUUCGCGGAUGCCGUCGCCGCCGCCGCCGUUGCUUCCUGGCCUGGACGUCACUCCCGUCGCCUCUCAGAACAAGAAGAUGAGGCUGGAUGAUGGGCAGCAGGGGGAGGAGACGACCCCGGCGCUCUUCCCGGAGGACGUUCUCGUCGAGAUCCUGUCGCGGGUGCCCUACGUCUCGCUCUUCCACUUCAAGUGCGUGUCCAAACAAUGGCUCGCCCUCUGCUCCGCCCCAGACGUCCGCAAGAGGUCGCCGCAGACCUUGUCUGGUUUCUUCUACUUCAAUCUCGGCUGGUGUUUCCAGAAUUUGUCCGGGAAAAGCCCUCCGAUCGUCGACGCCAAUCUCCGUUUCUUGCGUGGCAGCUAUAAGUAUUUCAGUAUCCAACAAUGGAGCACCAGCCUGCUCCUUUGCAGAUGCUGGAAAUCCCGCCGUCCUAGGCAGUACGAAUUGCCUGACGGCCUUUCGCAUUUCAGCCUAGGCAAAUACUUUCUGGGUUUUGACCCGGCGACUCCUUCCGGCUUUGUGGCGUUUGUGCCCCUGGACACAUAUUAUGAACAUGGCCUGUCCGCGGCCAUGAUCUACUCAUCGGAAACUGGAGGGUGGACUUCCAUGCAGAGUCAGUGCAAUGGUGGCUGUACAUAUCGGGUCGGUGAUUUAGAAAGCACCUUCCUAAAUGGCAUUAUGCAUUUCCCUACUCGAUCUUCGUCAAUAGUCACAGUGGACAUGAAAAGGAAUGCUUGGGGGAAAAUUAAAAUGCCACCUGGCAUGCCAAACAACUAUGGCGGUGCUUCCAUUGGGCAGUCACAGGGACGUCUGCAUGUUUGGGAAGAGGAUCAAGAUGGUUGCCAACUCUCUAUUUGGGUUCUUGAGAAUUAUGACAGUGGACAGUGGGGACCCUAA